UGGGGAAUAUUGGACAAUGGGGGCAACCCUGAUCCAGCCAUGCCGCGUGUGUGAAGAAGGCCUUUUGGUUGUAAAGCACUUUAAGCAGUGAGGAAGACUCCAUGGUUAAUACCCAUGGACGAUGACAUUAGCUGCAGAAUAAGCACCGGCUAACUCUGUGCCAGCAGCCGCGGUAAUACAGAGGGUGCAAGCGUUAAUCGGAAUUACUGGGCGUAAAGCGAGCGUAGGUGGCUUGAUAAGUCAGAUGUGAAAGCCCCGGGCUUAACCUGGGAACGGCAUCUGAUACUGUUAGGCUAGAGUAGGUGAGAGGAAGGUAGAAUUCCAGGUGUAGCGGUGAAAUGCGUAGAGAUCUGGAGGAAUACCGAUGGCGAAGGCAGCCUUCUGGCAUCAUACUGACACUGAGGUUCGAAAGCGUGGGUAGCAAACA
rnacentral:rRNA from 1 species